CGUAAAGGAGGCUCGUACAACAAGAAGCAUUGGAAAUCAGAACGAAUUGGAAAUAGCAGCAGCAGCAAUAUCAUCAGAAGCAGCAAAUAUCAAUUGUUAAAUGUUAUUAUUAUUUUUAUUUAAUUAUUCUUUCUUUUCAGAUUUUAUCACUAUUAUUAUUUAAUUAAUCUUUGCUUUGAG